AUUGAACGCUGGCGGCAGGCCUAACACAUGAAAGUCGAACGAGUGGCGGACGGGUGAGUAAUGUCUGGGCAACUGCCUGCUGGAGGGGGAUAACUACUGGAAACGGUAGCUAAUACCGCAUACCAUCGGAUGUGCCCAGAUGGGAGUAGCUAGUAGGUGGGGUAAAGGCUCACCUAGGCGACGAUCCCUAGCUGGUAUGAGAGGAUGACCAGCCACACUGGAACUGAGACACGGUCCAGACUCCUACGGGAGGCAGAAGUGGGGAAUAUUGCACAAUGGGCGCAAGACUGAUGCAGCCAUGCCGCGGGGAUGAAGAAGGCCUUCGGGUUGUAAAGUACUUUCAGCGGUGAGGCGUUACCCGCAGAAGAAGCACCGGCUAACUCCGUGCCAGCAGCCGCGGUAAUUC
rnacentral:rRNA from 1 species